GCCUGGGUGGCUUAGUCGGUUGAGCGUCUGACUUCAGCUCAGGUCAUGAUCUCACGGUCUGUGAGUUUGAGCCCCGCGUCGGGCU
rnacentral:tRNA from 1 species